rnacentral:rRNA from 1 species
ACUCCUACGGGAGGCAGCAGUGGGGAAUAUUGGGCAAUGGGCUAAGGCCUGACCCAGCAAUGCCGCGUGGAGGAAGAAGCCUUUCGGGGUGUAAACUCCUUUUAUCAGGGAAGAAGAUGACGGUACCUGAUGAAUAAGCUCCGGCUAACUCCGUGCCAGCAGCCGCGGUAAUACGGGGGGAGCGAGCGUUACUCGGAAUCACUGGGCGUAAAGGGUGCGUAGGCGGAUUGGUAAGUUAGGAGUGAAAGCCCACAGCUCAACUGUGGAACUGCUUCUAAAACUGCUAAUCUAGAGUCCGGGAGAGGCUGCGGGAAUUCCUGGUGUAGGGGUGAAACCCGUAGAGAUCAGGAGGAAUGCCGAAAGCGAAGGCGCGCAGCUGGAACGGAACUGACGCUGAGGCACGAAAGCGUGGGGAGCAAACAGGAUUAGAUACCCUGGUAGUCCACGCCCUAAACGAUGGCCACUAGUGGUUGGGGGGACAGUCCUUCAGUCACGCAGCAAACGCGAUAAGUGGCCCGCCUGGGGAGUACGGCCGCAAGGCUAAAACUCAAAGGAAUUGACGG